CCGCUGGGCUGGGCGAUGGCCGCGGGCGCCGCGCUGCUGACGCCGGUGCUCUGCGACGCGGCGCGGGCCCUGCUCCGGCUCGGCGCGGGGCGGGC
rnacentral:tRNA from 1 species